GUCCGUAUGAUGGCCUGGCCAAUUUUGUUAGUGUCUAAGAAAAGCUACGGGGAGCCUCGCACCUACUGACCUGGUCAAUUUGAUCUUAUUGAGUUUCAGACUUAGAUUGAAUAGUGAUGUAGACACUACAAAGGCCUUCCUUCAAGCUUGAUCAAUAGAGUAUGUCAAGAUUUUAGUGAGCUUGUUGUGCUAUCCACAAGACUUACUAUAGAAAUUGAUUUGAUGUUGACUAAGUGCAUA
rnacentral:lncRNA from 1 species